UACGUAGGCAGCAAGCGUUGUUCGGAAUUACUGGGCGUAAAGAGUGUGUAGGCGGUGCUCUAAGUUUGGUGUGAAAUCUCCCGGCUCAACUGGGAGGGUGCAUCGAAAACUGGAGUUGACUCGAGGGUGGGAGAGGUAAGCGGAAUUCCUGGUGUAGCGGUGAAAUGCGUAGAUAUCAGGAGGAACACCUGUGGUGUAGACAGCUUACUGGACCACUUCUGACGCUGAGACACGAAAGCGUGGGUAGCAAACAGG
rnacentral:rRNA from 1 species